GAUUCAUCAGCGAACAUGAAGGUCAUCAACCAGAGCUGAAGGUCAGAGGAGAAACUUCAUGAGCCGACAGUCAGUGAAGAAGAAAACUGUUAUUAGAGCUGAUGGACGUGGAUCAGAGUCACUGAAAGAGACCAAACGUUUGAUAGUCAGAUAACAGGACACAAAGAGGAUUGAGCUCACCUCCUGUGGUUCGUCCAGAAAAACGCCGUCCAGCUUCACCGACGAUUCAGGAACCAACCUUCACGUUGUUAUCAGCACUGAGGAAACUGGACUGCAGGAGCUUCAUUCACCCUCUGACCUGCUGGAAUCUGGACUGAGCUCAGAUACUUCAAAUCACCACAAAAGCAUCAUGGGAGCUGACCUACCAGCUCGGAGCUGCUGCUUCAGUCUGGGCAGAAGGGCCACCGGCUCGACCAAAGUCAGUUUUCCCAAGCAUUCGGCCACCAGGUUCCUGGUUCCCUCCUCCUGACACUCGCAGUGCUGGAACAGCAGGGACCAGAUGGACUCCACAUGGGGCGAGAGACUACAGGCUGGACUGCCACUGAAGACAAGAGAGAGAGAGCAAAGUUUAAAUGAUGAAUUUAAUCUGAAAAAAACCUUCAGAUGUUCUUACUUUGAUCUACACAGAAAAAGCAUUUUACUGUCUAAGAAACAGAACCUGCUCUUUAGUUUCAGCUAAGGCCUGUCAGAGAAUAAACUGGGAACUGGGAAUUUGGAUCCAGUUGGUUUUUUUCUUGAACCGAAACCUAAAAACUGGACAUGUUUUUCAUUCUGUGAGCUCCUCAGAUGACAGAGCACCAGAACCUUCAGCAGCAGCUUCAGGGAACACGGCGGCGUUCUGAUCCCACCUGAUGACGUCUUUGAGGGAGUGCAGCAGGAGGUACUGCCUCCGCGGCUGAGCUGAGAUCUCCUUCAACACGAAGGGCAGGAAGUCGCUGAGGCUGCCAACCGCCAUGCCGCCUAGAGCGCAGGAGGCCGCCGUCUUCACCUGCAGACCAGGACACACUCUUAGAUCUGCAGAAAGAACUGGAAGCAGCAAACUUCAACUCUAUGGACGAUAAAAUGGAUCAAACUCAUCUGAACCAAAAACAAAACGCUUGUGGAAAAAGAGAUAAGAAGUUCUUUAAAAACUCAUGAUGAUGAGAAUCUCAUUUCCUGUUUUAUGCUGCAGGCAGCAGAACCAGAACCUGAGGCUUCAGCCAGGGUUACAGUCAUACAGCGUCUCACCUCCUCACUGGGGGAGGAGAAAGCCUCCAGGAUAACUCCCUGGACCUCCUUACUUCCUCCGAGACUGCCGUUCCUCCCCACCUCCCCCAGACUCAGCAGAGCCAGGACACGGGCCGACUCCGGAGCGCCGGGAUUCUUCACCUGUGGCGGGAGAAGGACAGCUGGAAGUGUCACCUGCUCACAACAAAAACAAAACAGAAUGAAGACUUCGUGGAAAUCCAGGGGCUGAAGGAGGAGCUGACUGCACGGUUGCAGCAAGAGCUGGAACGCUCCACAUUCUCUUUUCCUGGACAGAACCGUCUCAUCAAGAACAUCCCAGCAGUUUGAUGCCAUCAAAGUCCAGCAUCAGCAUGGAGAAGGCAGAACUUCAGCGUGAUGUGAGCAAAGACCUGCAGACCUGCUGGAUGAGACCGGCCACCGUCGCAGGUGAGUCUUUGGAAGAGGCCGAGGCCAGAGCCGCCACGCACCGCGCCGCAGAGACGUAGGACUGCCUGUGGAGGGCGCUGCUGUCUGAGGGAGGACUCUGGAACGGCUCCAUGAGAGCCUUCAUCAGCUGGCUGUAGACAGGAGGAAGACAGCAGACAUUCAGAGACAAACCUGAAGACUGCAGGAGCGACAUAUGCAGACUGCAGCCAGAACCCGGACCGGUUCUGCUCUCCUGGGUCAGCAUGACUCAGUAUGACUCCGGCUCUAAGCUCCUGUAGAGUAAAUGACCACACUCCCAAUUUCUCAUAGCACACAAUGCUGAUAACAGCCUUGAGCCUGGCGGAGUUCCCCUCACAAACCACAGUCAUCAUGUCAGCAUCUUAAAAUAACAUCGGACUCUUUCAAAGCCACUUUCAGUGCUGACAGGCAGAAGCUCAAGUCUUUGCUUAAGUCUCUACUAAAACUGCAGGAUUCUCUUACUAACCACCUGACUGCUGGUCACCUGAUCAAGUAACAGCUGAUCACAGAGCAUGCUGGGAAAUGUUGACUUAGAGCUGAAGGGAUGUUUGUGAUGUCAGUCCUAGAAGUUCCUGAUUAUCAUCAGAAGAACAAGCCAGAGCCAUCUGCUGCUCCGUCGACCCGAGAACCACACCAGCCACGGCUCUUCAGGUUCCAUCUCACCUGUAGCCCAAGCUGCUGGCCUUAGAGAGCACCAGAGCCUGAAGGAAGUCCAAGAUGGCAGCCAGAGCCCCGCCUUGAAGCAGAGGAGAGUGGAUGAGUUUGAAGAUUCCUGGAAGUACCGACGAGCUAAUUUUAGCCAGAGAGGAAGGACAGGCUCUGGCCAUGCAGGUCAUGAGGGUGAUGGACACCUGAGAGGAGAGACAGACACCUGAGCAGAGAGACACCUGAGCAAAGAGAUAGACAUCUGAUUGAAGAAACACUUGAGCAGAGAGACAGACACCUGAGCUUAGAGAGUCCUGAGCUCAUUCCGAUCUGUACCCAAGCGUUUAUCUUUCCUUUUUGCAAUAACAUAAGUCACAGAUCCGCAA